GCUACCUGGCGCGUGUGAGUGAGAUUUGCAUAUCCCCAUAAACGUACCUUCACGAAGCUUUUAUUAUAUUUCAUUUCUGGAAGCUCGCCAGGCUUUGUAAGGAAUGUUGAGGUCCUGCACGAGAAUCUUCUUCUUGCCAUAAAUGGCUGGGAAUUCAAGUCCAGGGUGAGAAAGCUCUCGCAGAUUCCAAGGUGAGAAAGCGUAUAUCAGCAUUCCAAGGUGAGAAAGCUGUCGCAGGAUUUCAGGAUUCCAGGGUGAGAACCUCUCUUGCGGAGGAUCCUCUCGAAAAUAGAGGGCUCACCUCGUCAGAAAUCGAUCUAGAACUCUAUGGAAGCGCAGUUCUCUCACUUCGCCCAUUGCAUCGCAGCACAACUCAUAUACAGUCAGGGGAACCCUUCGGGUCAGUUUAAUUCCUGUUCACUUUCGGUACUUACUAUUUCUACACAAUACGGCGAGCACUUUUGACGGCAAUUUCGCAGAAAUGUUUCUUCAGACAUUUUCUCUUUGCAGAAGUGUUUCUGGACCGUGGCAAAAUUGACCGCUAGCUGGGAUGCAAAAGAACAAAUUGGGAGCCUUAAAGGCUGGGGAACGGAUCAGCAUGGCAUAUAUGGUGGAUGAUGGAUCUGAAGAUUCUAGUUCGGCAGCUUUUGGAAGAGAGUGAAUACUGAAUAGCUAAAUGAGGAUCUUCUCAGCUUAAAGUGUCAGUCGUAUAUGGUGGAUGAUGGAUCUAAAGAUUCUAGUUCGACAGUUUAAGGAACAGAGUGAAAAGUUAUAUGAGGAGCUUCUCAGCUUAAAAGUGCCAGGU